UCACCAACACCAUAAAAACCGGGAAAUGCUGGGCGAGGCCUCUCUCGAACAGAAGACCUGCAUGGUGGCUCUGAACAAAGGAACAAACAAUUCCCAACGUAUCCAACUAUGAACUGAGAGAGAAACAGUGCCUCUUGAGCGAUGCCUUCAGGUACGUCGGUUGAGACGGAUACUUUGGAUGAAACCGAUUACUACAGUUAGCCCAUCUGCACAGGUGACUAUGGGUCACAUCCUGUGUAUGGAGAAGCUACAGACUCUGCAGACCCUCGUACUGAAUGACUUUCCGAUCUUGACUGUCCCUGCAGCAACAAGCAGAAAGCCACGUAACUCAAGAUAUUUACACUUAAAGGAAGAAAACAAAACAUCAACAAUGAAAGUAAGACAGCGAGAUAUGAAAAAUCACAACUCACAGACACCAAAUAAAGCAUUUGGCAACAGCCUCGUGCUGCACCUGUCAAAGAUACGAUCCCAUCCAUAAAUUGAAAUAAUGUAUGAAAGUAACGCUGGAGUUUGUUGUCUGGUGGAUUAAUAAUACAAGGUUCAAUAAUGACCUCUCCACACAAGGCACAUCAGUGUUUCUAUUGGCCCCUGGCGAACGUGAUCGCCCACAGAAGUAGGAAACGCAUGCUUGAGUUCUUCAGUUGGAUGGAUGAUUAUAUAUGACCAAACCUUUAGCUAUAGGUUAAAGCUUUAGGUCAUUCAAUUGGUUCUGUAUUUUUGUCCCAAAUAAAAAUGAUCCGUUUUGGAUCGUUGUUUUUGUAAUGCAGGGUCCUCGUCACAGUUUUUUUUUUUUUUAUAAGUGUCUGAAAUGAUGAAAUAUUCCGAAGUGAUGUUAAAAAAAAUCCUUAUCUUUAAAUACAACACCGACUCGUAGCAACAAGUGGUCACUGAUUAGUCUGCACAAUUUAGCGCUUCAGGCAAAUUCCACUUCACAAUGAAAUGAUGCAAUAAAGAGAAACACUGUUUUCAUUAUCAGUAACUGCUGAUAUCUCAUCUACUGUAUGGGGGUACUGAGAUUUUUCUCUACGGUUACCAGACAUGAGUACCUAAUUAGUAAUCAGUACAAGAGCUCAGUGCUGGUAAAAUAGAAAAAAAAGAUGAUCUGCAGAAUACCUUUCAUUAUUUCUGUUUUUUUUUCCUUUCCUGGCCAAAGUGGGGGCUUUCAACAAAGUGCUGCUAUUCAAAUCAAUACAUCCCUCAUUACAGAAUGAUGAAUAUUUCAUCAGCAAGACUAUUACUUCAAAUGAAUAAUUUAACUGUGUUAUAUCAGUCAGUGUUGGGGGUUCAGUGAUACCCUGGUCCCUCAGCUUUUAAACCCAACCACUCAUUAUGAAGCUCUUUCAAAAAAAACCCUGCAUAACCCCACCAAAAAGGUCUGGGAUUCAGUUCAGAGAUUGUUCUCUCUGAAAAUGCUAGGGGUCGCAGUUGAAACCAAUGACAGUUUAAGUAUCUUCAGCUCCAAUUAGCCAUGACAUAUACAUUGUGUUGGGAGCAUCUCUCUUUCUUAUAAUGAGCUCCAUGCAUGGGUAAAUCCUGCAUGGAUGUAUGGCUUUUGUGCUGAAUUAUAAAUACCAAAACCUCUCACGACCUGAAACAGUAAUCGAUCAAGUAUUCACAGGAUUAAAAGGAAUAACUGGGAUGGAGCAAUUUCCGUGCCGUCAGGUGGAGAUUCACAGCUCUUUUUGUAAUUUGCCUUUCAACUUGGAGAUGGUUGAUCUUCUCCCGCUGUUAUUGUUGUUGUUUUUUAAUACUUGCAAACAGCUUCUUUUUGCCGACAGAUACAAACAGAAUAAAGUGUAGUUAUUUUUCACUUCCUGCUGCCACUUUUUAAUGGAACAUAGAGUAACUGUUACAAUUGAUCAAUUUGAUAAGGCAUCCUUUAAGAUUUCCCUGACUAUUGGCAAGAUCUACUGACUUGGUUGACUUUCAAUGAAAAUUAUUGAUUUCAUUGCUAUUA